UCACGAUUAUUUAAAGCAUUCACCUAACCGUCGUUCUCUUACAGAAAAGAAACAGUCGUUGCCCUAAAUCUUUAAUCCGUCACUUGGAAAACCCAAAAGAGGAAGGCCUUUCAGUAUGGACACCGAAAGGUUUGAAGGUAGAGACAAGUCGACAGGAAUAACUGUUUGAGAAGAGUUUGUUUGACUGGUGACAUCCACCUGGUCAGAAGUAACGAUGAUGAAAACAUUACCGGUGAUCAGCACUUAAAGUAGUGCCAUAUAGAUUUGAUACUAUUUUUGAAGUUCUUUGUUUGGUGUUUACGUGUCUCAUGCCUUUGCUACAUUAUAUCAGUAAUCAUGAAAGGUGAGCAUUAUGUUAUACAGAGCAAAUUCUUUGCCUAUAUUAUCUAAAUUUUUUGAUCUCAUGAGUUUGGGAUCCUCCAUUUACGAGCACUGGUUUACUUGGCCCCUUAGAAGUUUACAGAACGUGCACUUCUACUGCCCCGGAGUCUGGAAUGGAAGAGUCGAAGCAGAGAUUCUGAUGAAGUUUCUCCCCUCCACCUUUACCAUAUUUUGGUACGUCCACUUUAGAGACUAAUUAGGGACUUUUUAAACCCAAUCAAUAGUUGUCAGGAUGAAUCACAUGUGGGAGAGAUAUAUGAAGUCACUGAGCAGACUUAAAUCCCUUACUUUGCCAUUCUUUCCAGAAUAGGAUUUUGCAGUUCUUUCGUCAAUGUGCCUAUAUUGUUGGUUGAAAUCUCUGGUUAUUUUACUUAGGUUUACCAUGUGCACGACAAUUUGAUUUUGUUGCCUCUUGUGUUUCCAAGGAAGGUCAUUGCUUUUACAUUUGAGAAAUAGUUUGUCUAAGUACCCUGUGCAGAAAGUUCUUUUAGAUCUGUGUGGAUAAAAGAACGGGAUGCAUAUGUAAACGCUUGCUAAUUCGAGGUGAAUGAAUAGUGGCCUUGGUAGAUUUGUAGCAGAUUAUGAUUUUAGUGGAUUUGGGAUGAGGCAAUUCAAGGAGUGUGAUCAGACGGUGCUUGUGGAGUUUUACAAGUCCAUGGUUGUGGUUGUGGCACAGGGACAGUUUGUUCCUCGCGAUGUUGUUGCUUCUUUAAAUUUGGCUCUGCGAUUAUGCGCCAGGAUAAUUAAUCCCAACAGAAGAAGGUUACUUAUUAUCCAAGGAUCCGUAAUUUUUUUUUUUUUUUUGCUUGGCUUCUGUUGAUUUCCCAUAAGUAGGCUAGCUUUAUCUCUCAAUUUCCUUAAUGAUAUCUUCAAAUUUUGAUGACCAUGAAAUAUGGACCCUUAUAAAUUUCUAUUUCUUUUUCCUACAAUAUGUCAGACGAAAGACUCAUUUGCCUCUUUUUCUAUGAAUGGCUGCAGUUUAAAGCUGAAGGACCAAUGUCUUGCUUUGGUUAUUGGCCAAUAGGUCCUUGAGCUUUCCCUGCAUUUGGUGCUAGGAAGGCAUGCAGAUUGGGAUGAUAAUCUCAUAACGCUUCAGAAAUUGAAAGAAAGCAGAAUCGAAGUUGUUGAUGUAGACCAUUCUCUUCAGGAUAUUGGUAUACUUUCAGAUCUCAGUUCAAGUGACAAAGAUUUCAGUUCAGGAUGUUGACUACAAUAGUACUGACACUGCAAAAAAUAAAAGGUAUGAUACUUUUUCCAAACUUUAAGAAACAAAGCUAAUAAUCAACAUGUGUUUAUGUACAAUAUAUUUCACAACUCAUUUGUUGGAAAUGUUUAUCAAAGAAUUUACUGCAUUCUUUUGAUAUCAAUUGGUUGAGGAUUAUUUUAAACUUUCUUGCCUUUUAUCAGUUGUAGAAAUCUAAAUAGUGACAUAAGAAAUAAGGCAUAUGUCCUCUCAGUAAGUUUUUGUUGUCAUAUAGCAUCUUCUUUCGAUAUUUGAAUUUUCUAAAUAUCUUUUAGCCUUCCUAUCUUUCUGCAUUUUAGAUGAAGGGAAAGAAAUGAAAAGAAGAAAAAAAAAAAAAACAGAAGAUGCAUGUUAAAGUCUUAAUUUUUGAUAAAAUUCUUUUCCUCUGAAUUCUUCAAAUCCUUAAAGAUAAUUACUUUCAUAAACGAGAACUUGCAAUUGUCUUAUGUAUGUAUGAUUUUGUUGCCAGCUUUGAUCUUCUUUAGAGAAGAAAAACGGGAAUCGUAAUUUUAAAAACUAACAGACGUCUCUCUGGAUAUUCUCUACCAUCUCUGCUAAGCCAAAGUAAUUUUAUCUUUUUUAAAGCUAUCUUUCCUUUCAAUAAUUUGUUUAUUUAAAAAGUAUUUUAGACAUCGGAUUUAACAUUUCUACAAUUUCAACUUUUGCCUUCCUUCUUAAUUUAUCAACUAAUAUAUUUUGCGGUACGUUAAUGACCGCGCG